GGAGGAUAAAUAGUCCUUAAAGGACUUACAUCAGUAAGAACACCCUCGCCUGCAUUAUCUCUAUUUACAGUCACCUCCGAAGGAAGCUCGGUGUCCCUUGGGCCAGAGCUCUCAACAUUAAUAGUAGGGGCAACUUCUGACCCAGGGUGGAGGCUUUCUUUCUCAGAAUCAAGAUCAUCUUCCUCCGACCCUAGCUCGGAUUCCCCUGAAGAAGACUCAGCUGGCCGGUCUAUGUUCCUCCGGGAAUCUCCUCGGGGCAAAGGGAAAUCAUCCUCCCCGUAUAGCACUGACUCGCCAUCUGAG
rnacentral:lncRNA from 1 species